rnacentral:rRNA from 1 species
AACGAACGCUGGCGGCAGGCUUAACACAUGCAAGUCGAACGCCCCGCAAGGGGAGUGGCAGACGGGUGAGUAACACGUGGGAAGAUGCCCACAGGUACGGCAUAUUAUCGGGAAACUGGGAGCAAUACCGUAUGAGGCCGAAAGGGGAAAGAUUUAUCGACUUUGGAUUGGCCCGCGUCGGAUUAGCUAGUUGGUGGGGUAAUGGCCUACCAAGGCGACGAUCCGUAGCUGGUCUGAGAGGACGACCAGCCACACUGGGACUGAGACACGGCCCAGACUCCUACGGGAGGCAGCAGUGGGGAAUCUUGGACAAUGGGCGCAAGCCUGAUCCAGCCAUGCCGCGUGGAUGAUGAAGGCCCUAGGGUUGUAAAAUCCUUUCGUUGGGGACGAUAAUGACGGUACCCAAAGAAGAAGCUCCGGCUAACUUCGUGCCAGCAGCCGCAGUAA